UACGGAGGGUGCAAGCGUUAUCCGGAUUCAUUGGGCGUAAAGGGCUCGUAGGCGGUCUGUUGCGUCAGGAGUGAAAACUCGGGGCUUAACCCCGAGCCUGCUUCUGAUACGGGCAGACUAGAGGUAUGCAGGGGAGAACGGAAUUCCUGGUGUAGCGGUGAAAUGCGCAGAUAUCAGGAGGAACACCGGUGGCGAAGGCGGAUCUCUGGGCCAUUACUGACGCUGAGGAGCGAAAGCGUGGGGAGCGAACAGG
rnacentral:rRNA from 1 species